GAUGAUGCAAUGAAAGAAAGAAGUAGAGGGGACUUUAUUUCAGAGAGAAGCUGCCUUGGCUGAAAGCGGCUUUAAUAAAUAUCCUUGAAGAUGCGUUCUGGAGCAUUUCCAUGGGUUACUGUGGAGACGGGUUUACCGUUAUAUAAUUUAAAGUGAGGCUUUAGCCUAAGUAGGGUGGAACCGCGGAUUAACCUUUCGUCCCUUUU
rnacentral:ncRNA from 1 species